rnacentral:tRNA from 1 species
UGGCUCAGUGGCAGAGCACUUGCCUUCCAUGUAUGAAGCCCUGGGUUCCAUCCCCAG